rfam:Bacillus sp. SA1-12 scf7180000003357, whole genome shotgun sequence.
CAAGGUCAGAACCGGACUCGGGAAAUCCGACCGUCCGGGAUCGUAGGGGGGCUACAGGAAACGUGAUUUUAUCAUAUGCGCGCGCCUGUUUUCUACCCGACGGCGGGCCGAAAGCCAAAUGGCUGAAGGGAUUGAGCUCCAUAAACGUUAGUAAACCGAGAGGGCUGAUGCCUUACCUGCGUGCAGAAAGCAACAUUUUAUCCUUCGUCAAAGGCUAGAAGGAUGAAACCUCUCUGGAGUCAGAGACCU